rnacentral:lncRNA from 1 species
AGCUUUCCUUCAAUAAUUGAAUUAGACAGUUUAUAUAGUUCAGUAUUUUUAUUACAUUUGAAUAUCUGAAUUUCAUGAAUAUAAUAAAAGGAUUUGUGAAUUUUGUGAAAUGGAAAAUAAUUUUCUACCCCUCGUGGUAGCGUAUUUUAAGGAAAAAAGGAUUUCCGUAUGAAAAACAGUUUUCAAAAGGUUUUCUCGUGCUUUUUCAUAACUUAGUAUUUCAAAAUCAGCUUCCGGGUAGGAAACGUUUUAACUAAUAGUUGUGGAUUUAUGUUUAAAAAUCUGAAUAUGAAUCUGUGGUGAAUGGUGUAUGAAUAUAUGAAUGGUUAAAUGUUUGUCUAUUCAUUUGUAGUGGUUGUAUCCUGGUUAUACGUCUUGUACUCGUGCGACGUCGUGCAAAUACAGGGGAGACUCUG